rnacentral:rRNA from 1 species
CCUACGGGAGGCAGCAGUGGGGAAUAUUGCACAAUGGGGGAAACCCUGAUGCAGCGACGCAGCGUUAGUGAAGAAGUCUUUCGGUAUGUUAAGCUCUAUCAGCAGGGAAGAAAAUGACGGUACCUGUUUAAUAAGCACCGGCUAACUACGUGCCAGCAGCCGCGGUAAUACGUAGGGGGCAAGCGUAAUACGGAUUUACUGGGUGUAAAGGGAGCGUAGACGGCAGCACAAGUCUGGAGUGAAAUGCCGGGGCUUAACCCCGGAACUGCUUUGGAAACUGUGCAUCUAGAGUGCAGGAGAGGUAGGUGGAAUUCGUGGUGUAGCGGUGAAAUGCUUAGAUAUUAGGAGGAACACCAGUGGCGAAGGCAGCUUACUGGACUGUAACUGACGUUGAUGCUCGAAAGCGUGGGUAGCAAACAGGAUUAGAUACCCCUGUAGUC